rnacentral:rRNA from 1 species
UACGGGGGGGGUAAGCGUUGUUCGGAAUUACUGGGCGUAAAGGGCUCGUAGGCGGCCAACUAAGUCGGACGUGAAAUCCCCAGGCUCAACCUGGGAACUGCGUCCGAUACUGGAUGGCUUGAAUCCGGGGGAGGGAUGCAGAAUUCCUGGUGUAGCGGUGAAAUGCGCAGAUAUCAGGAGGAACACCGAUGGCGAAGGCAGGUCUCUGGGCAUUAACUGACGCUGAGGAGCGAAAGCAUGGGGAGCGAACAGG